GCGGGGGUUGCCGAGUGGACAAAGGCGGUGGAUUUAGGGUCCACUCCCGUAGGGGUUCGUGGGUUCGAAUCCCACCCCCCGCA
rnacentral:tRNA from 1 species